UACAGAGGUCUCAAGCGUUGUUCGGAUUCAUUGGGCGUAAAGGGUGUGUAGGUGGCGCCGUAAGUCGGGUGUGAAAUUUCGGAGCUUAACUCCGAAACUGCAUUCGAUACUGCGGUGCUUGAGGACUGGAGAGGAGACUGGAAUUCAUGGUGUAGCAGUGAAAUGCGUAGAUAUCUGGAGGAACACCGGUGGCGAAGGCGGCAUCCUGGGACCGGCAUUGACGCUGAGGCGCGAAAGCCAGGGGAGCAAACGGG
rnacentral:rRNA from 1 species